GAUGAAGAACGCAGCGAACUGCGAUAAGUAAUGUGAAUUGCAGAAUUCAGUGAAUCAUCGAGUCUUUGAACGCACAUUGCGCCCCCUGGCAUUCCGGGGGGCAUGCCUGUCCGAGCGUCAUUGCUGCCCUUCAAGCCCGGCUUGUGUGUUGGGUCGUCGUCCCCCCCGGGGGACGGGCCCGAAAGGCAGCGGCGGCACCGCGUCCGGUCCUCGAGCGUAUGGGGCUUUGUCACCCGCUCGAUUAGGGCCGGCCGGGCGCCAGCCGGCGUCUCCAACCUUUUAUUUUACCAGGUUGACCUCGGAUCAGGUAGGGAUACCCGCUGAACUUAAGCAUAUCAAUAAGCGAGGA
rnacentral:misc_RNA from 1 species